AUACGUUGGGGGCGAGCGUUAUCCGGAAUUAUUGGGCGUAAAGAGUGCGUAGGUGGUUUUGUAAGCGCGGGGUGAAAGGCAAUGGCUCAACCAUUGUAAGCCCUGCGAAUUGUGAGACUUGAGUGCAGGAGAGGAAAGUGGAAUUCCUAGGGUAGCGGUGAAAUGCGUAGAUAUUAGGAGGAACACCAGUGGCGAAGGCGACUUUCUGGACUGUAACUGACACUGAGGCACGAAAGCGUGGGGAGCAAACAGGAUUAGAUACCCUGGUAGUCCACGCCGUAAACGAUGAGCACUAGGUGUCGGGGUCGCAAGGCUUCGGUGCCGCAGUUAACGCAUUAAGUGCUCCGCCUGGGGAGUACGCACGCAAGUGUGAAACUCAAAUGAAUUGGCGGGG
rnacentral:rRNA from 1 species